rnacentral:rRNA from 1 species
UACAGAGGGUGCAAGCGUUAAUCGGAAUUACUGGGCGUAAAGCGUGCGCAGACGGUCUCGUAAGUCGGGUGUGAAAUCCCCGGGCUCAACCUGGGAAUUGCAUUCGAAACUGCGAGGCUAGGGUACGGAAGAGGGAAGCGGAAUUCCUGGUGUAGCGGUGAAAUGCGUAGAUAUCAGGAGGAACACCUGUGGUGUAGACAGCUUACUGGACCACUUCUGACGCUGAGACACGAAAGCGUGGGUAGCAAACAGG